GAUCAGAUCCCCAUCGCACCCCUCCCUGCUCCCAAUGUCCCCGCCGCCGCCGCCACCUCCUCCCCGUACCCGCCCCCUCCCGAUCCAGUCCUCUCCCACCCACCGCCGACCUCGCCGUCCUCCUCACCCACCACCGCCGACCUCGUCUCUCCCUCCCCUCUCCGCAUCUCCCGGCCACCUCUACGCCCGAGGAGAUGGAGCGAGCGCCCGAGUGCGCCCAUCCUCGCAGCCUCCUCCCACGAUUCCCCGCGCCCGAGCCCCACGAGAGGAGCUCCUCCUGUGUUUUUGCACGCCGCCGCCGGCGACCACUAGCCACAGCUUGCCGGAGCCAGCAGACGAGUGCCACCCUUCUUCUCUGUUCUCUUCUUCCCGUGCUCUCUUUCUUCCUCCUUUCUCUCUCUCUCACAUCUCGAUUUCUCUCUCUGUCUCAAACAGUGCACUUCGCCGCCAUGGACGCUCGCGUCCCCGACCUUGCAGCGCGCCACCCCGAUGCAAAGUCCCUCCUUGCCGUUCUGGCGCCGCUGAGCCGAAGCCUCGCCCAAGUCCAAGCGCCGCCGACGUUUGCCUCCUCGCCAUGGCCUCCCCUGCUUCGUCUGCUUUGCGGACAGAGCUCCGUCUCCGUCAACGUGUCCUCCCGCCGUCUCUGUUCGCUGUCGGGCUCAAUCGACUCCAGCAGCACCCCCACGGUGUCGCUCCGCUCGGCACCCGAGCGUCUCUCCAGCUUGCAGUAGCAGCUCUCUUCUCCAGUGCGCCCACCAGCCAGGCCGUUCGCCUCCAGCUCUCCGCUCUGGCUCUGUAUUGCGUUGUUCAUUCAAUCAGGGAUCUAUUCCAAGGUCUCGGGUCCGCCCUCUCCAUGGAGAAAGGGGAUAUCUAUUCAUUUUGCUUAAGUGAUUAAUCAGUGAGCGUGCGUGCUGAAUAUGUUCUCCACUGUCAAGGAUUUAUUUAUUGUCUUGUUAACUUCUAGCUACCUGCUGCUUGCGUUGCAUUGCAUUGCAUUGUGUGUCAAGUGAUUAAUCAGCGUGCGUGCUGAAUAUGUUCUUCACUGUCUAGGAUUUCUGCUGUGUUUUUUUACUUGUAAUAAAUACUGUUAAAGUAGCCAGCCACUAGGAUCUGAAGCGCUCAAGACCUGUGACAGUUUUGCUUGAUUUUCCUCUUCAUACUAGCUAGUUUCUGAAAGGAUCUUGAUUCAAAUACAUUACAAUCUGCUCAUUCUUUUUAUCCCCAAGCAGAGGCUCUAGUAAUGAAAUUGCUCUAGUAAUGUAAUAGGCGUGGGACUGUUCUGCAAACUAGCAUGUGUAGUGCAACACAUUAUUCAGUCACCACUUCUUUCCUGCACAUUAGUAGGGUAGCUGCAUUAUCUGUCUAUUUCUCUUUCCUUUAUGUAAAUAGUUGACAUGAUGCCAUAUUGCAGUAUUGCAAGUUAGGAGAAACAAGUUUCAAAAAUUGAUUUCUCCACCUGCUGCUUCCAUUCUUAUUAAUCAGUGUGCCAAUAAUAGCAUCUGUUUUGAGGCGACUCCAUCCCGUUCGUGAUAGUAAUUUGUUUAAAACCGCAAGGCAGCUUUGCUUUCUGCAGUAUCUCCUGCCUUGUUUUGUUCUGUCGACUGAGGCCUGAGGCAGAGCAAAGGCUUGCCGAUUAUUGCUUACAACGCCAAGUUGCAAUUAGCUGGGAUGUGUAGUGUGGCUAGCUUGUGUUGAUUGGUUUUGAGAUAUAAUUGGAAACUGAUUGUGUGUCAGUACAACAAACGUGAUGAUUUUUUUGAAUAGCAAAGAUGCUGAUGGAAGUGUCCUUCCAUAUGUGAUUCUAAUUUGCACUUCUCGGUUAGAGGCAUCUCCAGUACGUGACACACUUUGGAUGUGCAAACGAAUAUGUGCGUGUUUCACAUAUUACGUGAGAAAUUUUUGUUAGUUCUCGGCCAUUAUAAUUUGGAUCCACAGCUUGUUUGCCUCGCUUUGCUAGGCUGUUUGGGAACGUAUGUCAUAUAUAGGCGUAGUUUUCUUUUUUUUUACAGGUACAUGGCCGUGUAGGAAUUGGACUCAACUCAUUGCUUUGCAUGGCAGUCUAGAAAUCAUAUGGGGUAUGGAGACAUCAAUACAUGGUUACUUUUUAAUAAUAUAAUAGAUUAGCUGUAAAUGUGCCCCCCUUACCGAAGAAGAUAAGAAUCCAUAUGUGUUAUGCAAAAUUAACUUUGUCAUCUUGUAAGCGCUCUAGGCAGUGUCUAGAGGGUGAAAAAUAUGAGAACAAAAAAGAAUUACUGGAUUAAUUUACAACAUCCAUCCUUUACUUCGUUCAUGUCAUUGUUGUUUACCCCUGGGAGUAUUUUUAACUUGAAAAUCUCUGGUGAACUGCCAUUUAGAGUACAUUUGCUUGCUCUGUUAAUUUUUUUGGGUUACUCCAUCUUGCUCUGUUAAGUGAAAUUAGAUAUGUGGAGUAGCAGCAGUAAGCUAGACCCUCCAUCAUGCUCUGUACAUAGUCAAAGCUACUCCAAGUUAGCAGUAGUACUGUUAACUUCUCAAUUUGCUUGGAUUACAUUUAAAUUGUAGUACUCUAGUACUCCAGUAAUUUUGCUUAAGAGUAUUUAACAAGAUUGAACUGUAUUUGUGCGGAGUAAUUUUUCUUGGAGUAUUUAACGAGAUUGAACAAGAUUUAACUUUUCAACAUUUAACAGUACUUUUCAGUAAGUGUUCUAAACAUGCUUCUGAAUAUUUGCAGAUUCUGAACAUGCAAGCAAAUAUGCAGGAGUAAACAAGUUCUUGCAGUAGAUAUUCAUUAGGAGUAGUUUUACUGCAGUACUGCUUGAACUACUCCAAGCAUUAGGAGUACUGUAAAGCGAGUAAAUGGAGGGCGAGGAAUUUUUACUGCAAUGUAGGAUUGCACAGGGAGUUGUUAGUAGUAGAUGUUGAUGAUCAUAGUCAGGAGAUGGAGGGUGACACACAACCAUGGAGAGGAGCAGCAGCUCAAGGUCCUUUCUCCUCCACGCCACCUCUGCCCCUCUCUCGUUUUGAUUUGCUAUGUUGGGUUCCAAGAUUAGAAAUAUUUUUUGUUUCCAUCUUUAUCCAUGUGCUAUCAUUAACUCUGAGAAAAUGUUAUGUUUUUGCUGAUUAGUGGCAGUACAUCUUUGCUUUACUAUUCCUAGCAGCUGCAGUUCAUCUACCAUAAACAUGUUGUGUACAUUCUGAACCCCCAAACAUGACACAAGUGAUAUGUAUAUGCAGCAGGGAAUCGUCAACGUGUACAGUUUGUUUACUGGAAUGUAACUUGUACAAUUUUUACUUGAAUAUGUUCAGUUAUGAAGUCGUGUAGUUGUUUUUUCUCAUCAGUUCUAAAUUGCAGUACUUUACUGAAUUGUUGAUGAUGCUGAAUGAAUCUAGCUUGUUGGGUUCAGUCUCUUGUUUAGAUGGAAUAGCACCCCAUCACCUGUGUUGUUGUUAUUCACCCUAUCCUUGCUGUUCUAUUUUCUUCUUGGCAGAUAUUUUGAGUAAAUUCAAGACGAAAGAUGUUCAAAGAAGCUCCAAGACAUUCUUAUAUAGCAAGUUAUGUAAUAAUAGCUGGGUUAUCUGGGAAUUUAAUGUAUCUUCUCUCUGUUUGUGAAUGAAAUAGUAAUUAUGUAUGUGAAUUAAUGUAUCUUCUCUCUGUUUGUGAAUUUCAUGUAUGUUUCAGAAUUACAAUUUCUGUUUCACAUGAACUAGUAAUUAUGUAUGUGAUUUGAAAA